rnacentral:rRNA from 1 species
UGAGGAAUAUUGCGCAAUGGGGGAAACCCUGACGCAGCAACGCCGCGUGGGUGAAGAAGGCCUUCGGGUUGUAAAGCCCUGUCAGGUGGGAAGAAACCUCAAUAGGUGAAUAGCCUAUUGAUCUGACGGUACCACCAAAGGAAGCACCGGCUAACUCCGUGCCAGCAGCCGCGGUAAGACGGAGGGUGCAAGCGUUGUUCGGAAUUACUGGGCGUAAAGAGCGUGUAGGCGGUCUGAUAAGUCGAGUGUGAAAGCCCGAGGCUCAACUUCGGAAGUGCACUCGAAACUGUCAGGCUUGAGUACGGGAGAGGGAAGUGGAAUUCCUGGUGUAGAGGUGAAAUUCGUAGAUAUCAGGAGGAACACCGGUGGCGAAGGCGGCUUCCUGGACCGAUACUGACGCUGAGACGCGAAAGCGUGGGGAGCAAACA